rnacentral:sRNA from 1 species
UUGUAUGUUAAUUUCAUAUUGUAUAAAAAGUGUAUCUUGUUCAUGUAGCCUCAUUAUUUAAUGUUACAUGUGUUUUUAUAAUAGUAUUCCUCAUUUCAUAUUAGUACAUAUAUAUUAAUCAAAGUAGUUUUGCAUAAUCUCUAUAAGUAUAUAUGUAAAGAUAUAAUAUAAUAAUUCUUUUAUACAUACACAAUUUAUUAUCUUUGUAUUCAUACUAUUUUUCUACAUAUAUAAAUGUAUGUAUUACUUUUUUUUUUCUCUGUUUUUUUUAUUCAUCUUUUAUUUUAUUAAUUUAGUAUUCUAUUCAUGCUUGUUUUCCUUGUAAUUUUUGUUUUAUUACUAAGGACACAUACAUACUAGACAAGCUAACAUUUCAUCAUUUGUUUUGAUAUAUAUAUAUAUAUAUAUAUAUAUAUUUGUUAAUAGAAAACUUUUUUUUUUUUUUUUUAUACAUGUAUUUUUUUAUACUCCCUAUAUAAUAUAUGCGAAUUAUUCAUAUAUCAUAUUUUCUAUUCAUAUAAUAUGCAUGUGUUGUUGCAUAAGGAGUAUCUUAUAUCAUCUUAUUUAAUAUUUAUAUUAUUUAUAUUAUGAUAUGUUUUAUUGCUUAUUCUUUUUUAACUUUUUAAUAUUAUUUGUUUUUUUUUAUUAUUAUUUUUAUUUAUGGUAUAUUCAAGAACACAGUAGUCUAUAGAUCUUAAUUCAUCUUUUAUUUCUUUUAUAUAUCAUCUAAGUUUUUAUAAUAUAUAUAACAUGCGCAUUUAUUUAUACCUAUACAUUUUAAUACAUAUAAUAUAUAUAGAUAUAGAUUAAUAGAAAAAACAUUUAUAAUUUAAAGAAUAUACAUUUUAAGAUAUUAGACGAGUAUACAUGGUGUUGAUAAGGAUUUAUUUAUUUUUAUUUAUUUAUUUAUUUAUUUAUUUUUAUAUGUAAUUUUGUUGCCCUUUCAUAUAUGUAUAUCUCGGUCUUAUUUUGAUUUUAUAUAUUUACACUAAAACGUAAGAGUGCAUUUUUGUGAUACCCACCUUGUUAUAGUUUUAUUUAAAUUAUUGUUAUAUUAUAUUAUAUUUUUAAAUGUAUAUAUAUAUAUAUAUAUAUAUAUAUAUAUAUAUAUAUAUAUAUAUAUUUACAACGUUGUGUAAGAAUUGAACAGGAAUUAUAUACAAAGCAAAGAAAAAGAGAAAAUAAAACA